AAAAGUACUUUGUAAAUGGCAAAUUGGAUGUAUCUCUGUAUUUUUAAAUGUAUGUGAUUUGGGGAAAUACUGGCCACUUAUUUAAUCUGAUUAAAGAAGAAAAAUUAGUGAAAAUGAUGAUUUUCUGUGAAAUCAAACAGAAAUGACACUGGUAAAUUAUAAAAUUUUAACUUCUGAUUGGUUUUAUUUGAUUACUUCAAUGCUGUGAUACUAUGUUAUACUGAAAUUUAUUUAUGCUGCAUGUGUGGAAAAUACUAUAUAUAUAAGUAGCAUAAUUUUUUCAACUUUUUCCCUUUGAUAUUUCUAGAUAUUUGUCUAACAAUCUUGAACAAAAUGUUUGAAAUAAUCUGUCUUAAUACUCAUGAAAUAUUUUUAUGUUAUGUACAAAGUAUAUGUAUGGCUGUAUUUGAACAAAUACAUGUAUAAGGCAGCCUAUGGUUACCCAAAUCAAACUAUCAAAACCAUGGGUAACUUAAGGUGGUAUCUAACACUUUAACUAAAUUUAAUUUGGCUCAUUUAAUUUUCUUAAUAUUUUGACAAAUUAUUUACUUUGACCCUUUGACAAAAAUAUAAAAAUUUGAACCAACCGAAAAAUUACACUGGUUAUAUAGCAGUUUGACAAACACUUAUUUUGAUCAUUGAGAAGCUUGAUAUUCCCUUAUGAACACAAUGUCAUUAAAACAUUCUGCUGAUUUUACAGAGUUAUCUCCCUGUAGUGUUAGGUACCACCUUAAGGGUGUGAAUUUAUCAGUAAGAAUUGGCUGUCUUAUGUGUAUAUCUAACACAGUGUUGAUUAUUCCUAUUUUCAUAUGCAUGUAUUUUAACCACCAGUAAAAGAGAACAAUAUUUACGGUAUGUGAUUGUUGUUCUUCAUUUGUACAUAUAUUAUGUAUUGUACACCUUUUGUAUCAGGACAUUUUUUUUAUUUUUAUAUUCCUAAUUUGUAUUUUUUUGGUAAUUGAAAGGAUAAUGCAUUAUAUGUUUAAACAUAUCUGAAAUCCAGAAUUUUCAAAAUAAAGAAAGUUCUAAGGCACGGUCUCUUUGUAUUUAUACUAUUAUAUAUUGAGCAAUCCAGUAUUGCAUUUCUUCUCUGGAUUUUCCUUCAUUGUUAGGAAGAUUAUAUUUUAAUAUAGAUUUAAAUUAUAGUUUAGUUUAGGUUUUUCUAAAUAUGGAUUUUUCUAAAUAUUUUUGAUAUGUUUUGUGUCAUUGUCUGCAAAUAUUUACUCAGCUGAAACUCAUAUAUAACAAAACCAGAAACAAAACAAACGUUGAAGGUCAUAAAAAUGACCUUGUGAUAUUUUAAGUUCUACAGGCUCUAAUGUACAGCUUGUAUUGCAAAUCAUACCACAAGUUCAAAUAUCCUUUGUUUUAUAUUGAACAUAAGUGUUGUGCCACAAAUGUUUUUUUUUAAUCAAUUGGUGUUUUGAAAUUUUCAUUUAAGAGUUUUGCAGGUAUGCAUAUUACCCCCUUUCCAUUUGUAAACUGUGCAACAGAAGCUAACAUUGCAUGAAUGAUUACACUGAGUAUUUUAUUUCACUCUUAAUACUUCUCAGCAUCAUUAUUCUCUGCAUUUUACCAAAAGCCAAUCAAUUUUUAGAUAACCUGGUACUCAUAGUACUUAACCACCAUAAUUUCUUUAACCACAAUAUUUACAAAACUAAUAUUAAUACAGGUAUACUAUCUAGUAUUUGUUUAGUGUCUUUUAAAGACUAAUGUUAUUAUUUGCAGGACAUUGAGUGAAAUUCCUUGACUUUUUAAUCUGUUCUAAAGCUCUCAUGAUGAUUUUUUUACCUGAAAUCUUUGAUAGUCACAACCUAAUGACAGUGAAUUAUUUAAAACGCAUAUAUUAUGUCAGCAAUUUUUAUGAACGGUACCAAUUGUAACAUCAUUUUUGUGAUUUUGAAAUAUGCAUACAUUAAUUAGUAAGUGUAUAUUUUUUCAAUUUACCUUACAAUGUAUCAUUAAAACCAGUUAGACAUAUUGUACAGAACAUACAUGCGUCUGUGAUAUAGAUUUUGUUAUUUGUGUAUGGAUAUAUAAUUUAUGAUUAAGACGUUAGUACAAUGUAUUGUGAUCCAUCAGCAACAUUCCCUUGUUUUAGUGUUAGUAUUUUGUAUAUUUAUAUUAUAUGUCACAAUGUGGGACAAUAAAAGAUAUUG
rnacentral:lncRNA from 1 species